rnacentral:rRNA from 1 species
GUAGUUUGAUCAUGGCUCAGGACGAACGCUGGCGGCGCGCCUAACACAUGCAAGUCGAACGAGAGAGAAGGAGCUUGCUUCUUCGAUCGAGUGGCGAACGGGUGAGUAACGCGUGAGGAACCUGCCUCAAAGAGGGGACGAACAGUUGGAAACGACUGCUAAUACCGCAUAAGCCCACGGGUCGGCAUCGACCUGAGGGAAAAGGAGCAAUCCGCUUUGAGAUGGCCUCGCGUCCGAUUAGCUUAGG